AUUUUAUCUAGUUCGAUUUGUCAUUUUCCUUACCAAUUAACACAACACAUAACAUAUAUAGAUAGAUUCACAUUAUAAAACAAAGACAAAACGACGUCGUUUUCUUAACGGUUUUCUUAACGGGUGUGGGAUUAGUCGAGUAAAUCACAAUAGCGGUAUAAUAAACGCGGAUUUAUGGUUAAUCUCGGUUUAAUGACCGGUUCAAUUGGAAUCAUAUUUUUAAGGAUGAAUCUGAAAGUACAUGUUGCAAUUUUAAGAAUUAUCAAAGUUUAUGGUGGAAAUUUCAGGAAUAAAAAGUGUGUGGGGGGGGGAAAGCUGAGAAUGCAAUUAGUUUAUGGCUAUAAAAUCAGUCAACCCUUUUCUUAACGGAUAUAGGUGAUUAAUCGGGUAAAUCGCAAUCGCGGUACAGUAAACGCGAAUUUGUGGUUAAUUCCGGUUUAAUGACCGGUUCAAUUGAAAAUGUAUGUUUAAUGAUGAAUCCGAAAGUACAUGUUGUAAUUUAAAGAAUUAUCAAAGUUUAUGGUGGAAAUUUAAGAGGUAAAAAGUGUAGGGGGAAAAGCUGAGAAUGCAAUUAGUUUAUGGCUAUAAAAUCGGCCAACCCGGUAAUAAUUAGCUAAAACUAUUAAAAAAACUUAAGUCGUUCAUAUUUAUGUUCAAAUUUAGCAAAACCAUUAAAAGAAUUUAUUGGUUUAUAUUUAUGUUUCGAUUUAGCUAAAACCAUAAAACGCUUAUCUAGUAAUUUUAGGAAAAAACGUCUUCCACACAAAAUAAUUAUAAAUACUACAUGUUGAUGUCAUUGUUACUUCAAUAAAGGG
rnacentral:sRNA from 1 species